GGUGACAGCUGCAAAGUAUCUGUUGGAUUUCUUUGUCAUAUAUAGAGGACAAUGGAGAACUGCGCUGCCCUGUGUCGUUCCGUUGAGUGGAGCUGGUCUUCCUGGGUUUGAACUUCCACGCCUGCUGUAACUACGUUAUUCUCUGCCAGUUCAUUGCAUCCACAACGGUGGUAACUUGUCUGCCUGAAGCCUUUUACCUCGUCUUUGAAAAGUCAUCCCUUGAAAAGUGUAUCCCUGAGGAGUCAGGAGCUCACAACCAGGCUCCCAGUGGAUUCAGGUACCACCCUGCCACUCACGCGCCCUCACGCGCCCGCCCACAGACACCACCCAGAUUCACCAGCAGUGUUCAGGACGCCCCCAUUUCCUCACAGUCUGUCACUGCUCAACACUCACUCGCAAACAAGACUUUAUAGACUUAUAGCCUUUAUAUUGGUCACAGUCUGAUCUUUGGGUCCAAAAAUUAUAAAAUUAUGACAGAUUUAAGA